rnacentral:rRNA from 1 species
UACCAGCGGUCCAAGUAGCAGCCAUGUUUAUUGGGUCUAAAACAUCCGUAGCUUGCUUGGUAAGUCUCUUGUGAAAUCUGGCAUCUUAAGUGUCAGGCGUGCAAGAGAUACUGCCAAGCUAGAGACCGGGAGACGUAAGGAGUACGGUUAGGGUAGCGGUUAAAUGCGUUGAUCCUUACUGGACUAACGAUAGCGAAGGCACCUUACGAGAACGGAUCUGACAGUGAGGGAUGAAGGCUAGGGGCGCAAAACGGAUUAGAUACCCCCGUA